CUUGGAGUCGGCGGAUUCUUCCUCGUCUUUAUCUUUGAUGGAAUCUUCCGAAUCCGCCCUGCGUUCCUGACCCUCUUCUGCACGUCGCCCACGGCGAAUUAAAGUGGUCAUCCUUACAUGAAAUAAACAAGCUUGAAGUCACUCCAGCGAGCUUCUCUCCGCCCCCCUCCCCGCGCACGUCAUUCAAGCUUGCUCAGAGCUGAGUGUUGCCUUGAUGGGCGCUCUUGACCAAUGGGAAUUGACUAACGCUGCACGGAUAGAUUCGCUGAUCCUCCCGGCCAUCGAGAUGUGUUGAUAGACCGGCGUUUCGGGAUCAACCAUGUUUUAUGAGGGGAUUGUAAGCUUCCGAAGCCGCGUUCAAGUCAUGGCGGAAAUGGGUAGUUGUUAGAGUUUAUGUUAUGUUGUGGUUACGCAGAAAUAAAAUACAUUUCUGAAA